rnacentral:rRNA from 1 species
UACAGAGGGUGCGAGCGUUGUUCGGAAUUACUGGGCGUAAAGCGCGCGCAGGCGGCCCUUUAAGUCCGUCGGUCAAAUGCCGGGGCUCAACCCCGAUGCAUGCCGAGGAUACUGGAGGGCUGGAGACACGUAGAGGCAAGCGGAAUUCCGGGUGUAGCGGUGGAAUGCGUAGAUAUCAGGAAGAACACCGGUGGCGAAAGCGCUCUGCUAGGCCGCAACUGACACUGAGGGACGAAAGCUAGGGGAGCGAAUGGG